rnacentral:rRNA from 1 species
UUGUCGAAACCUGCAAGGCAGAACGACCCGCGGACCCGUAGUCGAUACAGGGGGGGAUGCGACGUGGCCUGCCACGGCGCCCCUCCGCGGCGGGCGGGACGGACGGGAGCGGCGGAAUCGUUCCGUCCUCCGGCCCGAUCCUCGCCCCCCGACCAACAAAACCCCGGCGCGGAACGCGCCAAGGAAUCGAAAAACAAAACGAAGGGACGGGCCCCCGCAGCGUGCCGGGAACGGAAUUCGCACGGGCGGCCCCGUCCUGUUCGGAAACCAAACGACUCUCGGCAACGGAUAUCUCGGCUCUCGCAUCGAUGAAGAACGUAGCGAAAUGCGAUACUUGGUGUGAAUUGCAGAAUCCCGUGAACCAUCGAGUCUUUGAACGCAAGUUGCGCCCGAAGCCCUCGGGCCGAGGGCACGUCUGCCUGGGUGUCAUUUAACGUCGCCCCAUCCAACUCCCCUCCGGGGGAGAGAGGAGAGGGGCGGAGAUUGGUCUCCCGUGCGCUCCCGCUCGCGGUUGGCCGAAAUCCGAGUAGUUGGCGGCGAACGCCACGGCAAGCGGUGGUUGAAGAGACCUUCGGACGGUGCCGCGGGCCGAGCCUGCACAACGUAACUCUCCGAGACCCUUUUUUCCCUGCAGAGACCCCAGGUCAGGCGGGAUCACCCGCUGAG